GGUUGUGUAGUGUAGUGGUUAUCACUCUGGAUUUUGACUUGAUGCUUGCACUCGAUCAAGCUUCCAGUAACCCCGGUUCGAACCCGGGCACGACCU